CAUUCUCUUCAGUACGAAAGGACCAAGAGAAUAGGACCCAUAUUCCCAACAAGUCCUUCUCCCCACGAAACAAUAUUAACCCCACAGUCUCACCCCACCCAAAAACAGGG
rnacentral:rRNA from 1 species